CCAAUAGCGUAUAUUAAAGUUGUUGCAGUUAAAAAGCUCGUAGUUGAAUUUCGGGAUCAAUAUAUCGGUCGUGCCUUGGUACGUACUGGUCUCACUGAUUCCUCCUUCCUGAUGAACCUUAAUGCCAUUAAUUUGGUGUUUUGGGGAAUUUGGACUGUUACUUUGAAAAAAUUAGAGUGUUUAAAGCAAGCUAACGCUUGAAUACAUUAGCAUGGAAUAAUGAAAUAGGACGUUCGAUCCUAUUUUGUUGGUUUCUAGGAUUGACGUAAUGAUUAAUAGGGAUAGUUGGGGGCAAUAGUAUUCAAUUGUCAGAGGUGAAAUUCUUGGAUUGAUUGAAGACUAACUACUGCGAAAGCAUUUGCCAAGGAUGUUUUCAUUAAUCAAGAACGAAAGUUAGGGGAUCGAAGACGAUCAGAUACCGUCGUAGUCUUAACCAUAAACUAUGCCGACUAGGGAUCGGAUGAUGUUAAUUUUUUAAUGACUCAUUCGGCGCCUUACG
rnacentral:misc_RNA from 1 species